rnacentral:rRNA from 1 species
CAGUCGCCACGGUAAUACGAAGGGGGCUAGCGUUGCUCGGAAUGACUGGGCGUAAAGGGCGCGUAGGCGGAUGACUGAGUCAGAUGUGAAAUUCCUGGGCUUAACCUGGGGGCUGUAUUUGAUACCGGUUGUCUAGAGUUCGGAAGAGGGUCGUGGAAUUCCCAGUGUAGAGGUGAAAUUCGUAGAUAUUGGGAAGAACACCGGUGGCGAAGGCGGCGACCUGGUCCGGGACUGACGCUGAGGCGCGAAAGCGUGGGGAGCAAACAAGAUUAGAUACCCCAGUAGUCCCUGUCUCUUAUAC